rnacentral:rRNA from 1 species
UUCCUGACCCUCCUGGGUUGGGGAUGACAGGCGGAGCAAUCUGCUGCUAGAGGAUGGGCCUGCGCGCAUGCUAGUUGGUGGGGUAACGGCCCACCAAGGCGACGAUGCGUAGCCGACCUGAGAGGGUGAACGGCCACACUGGGACUGAGACACGGCCCAGACUCCUACGGGAGGCAGCAGUAGGGAAUCUUCCGCAAUGGGCGAAAGCCUGACGAGCAACGCCGCGUGAGUGAUGAAGGUUUUCGGAUCGUAAAGCUCUGUUGCCAGGGAAGACGUCCGGUAGAGUAACUGCUGCCGGAGUGACGGUACCUGAGAAGAAAGCCCCGGCUACUACGUGCCAGCAGGCCGCGGUAAUACGUAGGGGCAAGCGUUGUCCGGAAUUUUGGGCGUAACGCGCGCAGGCGGUUAUUUAGUCUGUGUUAAACUUGGGCUCACCUGGGGUCCACUGGAAACUGGUGGUUGGGUACAAAAAGAAAGGGAAU